AAUAGGGUGGUAAGUAGAGGCUAAAAAUAAAAAAUAAUAAUAAUAAUUCGUACUAAAUUCAUCCUAAUCUACUAAAAAAAUAACGUACCAGGUUGGAAAUCCCUUCCUCUCUUGAUCCGUUCUAAUUCACCAAAAAAUUGCUCUGCUUUAAGUUUUCAGCUUCUGGAAUAAUAUAAUCUUCUUUUUUUUUUUUUGAGAGAGAUAAGUAGUAUGCUAUCUGUUUCGUUUAUUUUAUUUAGAAAUAAACUUCGUUGGAAAUGUGAAUCAACUAGAAUUCGAACUUGGGAUUUCGGAUACCAAUCACGAAGCCCUUUGCCACUUGCGCUAGGGACUGUUGGUUGGAAUAGUAUAAUCUAGUAUGGAUUCUUGGACAUGCUAGUAUUGAGGGCCUUCCAACAAUCUUAAAAAAAUAAAAUAAAACGAAGAAAGAUAUUUUAUAACUUACAUAACAUGUGUAAGCGAUAUCCAAAUAAGACCCACUAAUAAGAAGAAGCAUAAAUUAUACUUUUGGUCAUCAAAAUAUAAGGCAUGUGAACUUUAAUUUGUUAUAAUUUUUAGCUUGAAUUUUUUGAAUUGUUGUAAUCGAAUUAUACAAUCCAAAUUACUUGGCUAAAUAAUGAUAAAAUAUUAACGAAGAAGCAAUUUAGCAUCUUAAUUAUUGCAGCAUUAUCAAUUACAAUACUUCACGUUACUUCUGCGUCAAUAAUUUAUCUAUAUUUUGUUGAUCAAAUAAUCUCAGU
rnacentral:lncRNA from 1 species